rnacentral:rRNA from 1 species
AAUUAAACAAUUAAAACCUUAAGGAGGGGGAAACGGUUGGAAACGACCGCCCUUUACCCCAUAUGCCGAGAGGUGAAAUCUAAUUGGCCUGAGGAUGAGCUCGCGUCCGAUUAGCUAGUUGGUGUAUUAAAUAUCAACAAAGGCGACGAUCGGUAGCUGGUCUGAGAGGAUGAUCAGCCACACUGGGACUGAGACACGGCCCAAACUCCUACGGGAGGCAGGAGUGGGGAAUUUUCCGCAAUGGGCGAAAGCCUGACGGAGCAUGACCGCGUGAGGGAAGAAGGUCUGUGGAAUCUUAACCACUUUUGAUUGGGAAGAAUACUGACGGUACCAAUCGAAUCAGCCUCGGCUAACUCCUUGCCAGCAGCCG